rnacentral:sRNA from 1 species
UUUACAAUGCAUAUUGCCGAAGACAGUAGGUGCCGUAAGGCGUAAACGUAGAACCUACCGAGGGAAUUUUCGAGAUUUAUCUUGAAUUUUGACUUGUACCCUUCUGUCGUCAGGCAGGAGGGUUUCUUUGAUUUA